AAACCCAUUGUGAUCAAAUUAUUCAAUUCACUAAUAAUACUUACCAUAUUACUGCCCAUUGUAGGCUACAGCCAGUCUGGCCAAAACACCAGUUGCUUUGUUGUUGAAACGCUUGUUACGGUUCGUUCAUACAAAACAAAUGCACACAUCAAAAACUGGGACUCACCAUGUUGCCUCACGUUAGAAGACCGCAUCACCUUGGCGGACACUACCUGGCCUUGUGUGCCCCCGGUAAAGCCCCCCAGCAGCGCGAGCAACAGCGCCAGUGCCACGCGCCCAGAGCCGUUCAUUCUGUCGGUGGCGUUUGCACACUAAACUAAAAUCCCAAGCGUGGAAGAACCACUUAUUGUUCUGAAAAGAGACCAAUUAGCUACUUGUGUUUUCCCUGGAGACUCAAGUAAAAGUUUUCUUAAAACGUUCGUGCUGUUAACAUCAUUUCUCCCGAGUCGCUUUCCACAGUAGACUGGAGCGAACUGCCUGUCUCAAACUGACCAUAACCGAGCUCCGCCGCUACAGAAUGCUGAGCAGGUUCAUAUACUCAUGUCCACAGACAAGUACGGGCGCCGUUUUUUAUCGCUUUACCGCGAGUUAAUCCAGACUGGUAAUUCCAUUACAAAUGAUCCACAUUAGUUCAACUUCUCUGAUAUCAGAGCGAGCUCGAAAUGCUUUCCAGCAAUUUAACUUCAAGGCUGAGAGUGUGCGUGUCUCUCGCUGUAGCUCAACACACGCACACGCGCGCUGGUGUGUGUGAAACUUCAAUCGGUGAAUUGAUCAGAGAGGAGGAUUGUCCCGUUUACGCGAACCGGGACAAGGAAAUAGACCAGAAUGAACAUUUUAGCGGCGACAAGGAAACUUUGGAGAUACUAUAGAAGAUGCUUUGUGUUGUACCAAGACAGCAGCCUCUCCCUCAAGGUCAGCAAAACAAGGAAGUUGAUUGUUGACUUCAGAGAGCAGAGGAGUGAACAUGCCAGGAUCCACAUUAAUGAGACUGCAGUAGAGAGAAUCAGCAGUUUUAAGUUCAUUGGCGUCCACAUCACCGAGGACCAACAGCGGGUGGCCACCCCAGGUCCUCUCCAAGUACUACCGCUGCACCAUCGAGGGCAUCCUGACCGGUUGCAUCAUGGUCUGACACGGGAAUUGCUCUGUCCACGACCGCAAGGCCCUCCAGCGGGUGGUGAAAAGAGCCCAGUACAUCACUGGGACUGUGCUCCCACCCAUCCAGGACACCUACUCGAAACGGUGCAUGAUACAGGCCCGCAGCAUCAUCAAAGAGCCCACACACUCCAGCCAUGUGCUGUUCACUCCCUUACCGUCGGGCAGACGGUAUGAGAGCAUGGGGUCUGAUACAAACAGGCUCAGAGACAGUUUCUACAGUAUCUACAAGACAUCAGACUGCUGAACACUUGAACUGGACUGACCACCUGGUCUGAUUCUCCACACCUUAGCACGCACACACACACACACGCACACACACACACACAUUCAUGCUACACACAUAUCACAACUGCUGCUACCAGACUCUAAAAUACUGCACAAUGUAAGCACUUGCCCCACAAUCCCCCUUCCCCUAAACGCGUGUAAAUAUUGGACUAUAAAUUGUGCCUUCCUGUAUUAUACUGUACAUAUGCAACAAAAAAUGCAUUCUAUUCUACUGAGCCAUUUAGUGUGUGAGUGUAUAUGUACUCAUGAGAGUGUAUUAUGUGUGUGUGUGUGUGUGUGAGAGUGUGUGAGUGUGUGUGAGUGUGUGUGAGUGAGUGAGUGAGUGAGUGAGUGAGUGAGUGAGUGAGUGAGUGAGUGAGUGAGUGAGUGAGUGAGUGAGUGAGUGAGUGAGUGAGUGAGUGAGUGACAUAUGUGGAGAUACUACCAGUCAUGUGGAGGUGAGAUCUGAGGAAUGUUAUUAACACUGAUUAGUAACAGAUACAUUCAUGUAACUUUUUUUCAUAAUUUCCCCAUAAUCCUAGUAGUGCACACUGAGAUCUAAACAGCAAGACAAAGGAUUCUGGGAUACCAAAAAGACGCCUCAGAAUGGCGAGAUGUCCUCUAUGUAACGUCUCCCAGACACACACAGUUAUUACAAGGAAUUUACAGCUAUAACUGGCAUAGACUCAGAUACCAGUUAGUCUAUGAUUGAGAGAUUCCUUUGGGACAUUCUGGUUCUAUGGGAGAGAUUAAUUUGGGACAUUCUAGUUCUCUUGGAAAGACAGUCUGUAUAAUGUAAGAAUAUAAGACUGAUGGUUACUGUCACUCACCAGCAAUCUCAUCCUGCCAGUCCACAUCUCAUAACUGACUUACCUUUCAACCACCUUGUCAUCCUCCAUACCCUCAACCUUUGACCUUACCCACAAAUUCCCCCUCCCUUCCCCCUGCCCUACCUAUCUAGGCCACCCCCUAUGCCACUGUUCUAGAGCCAGAGUUGUUGACUUUGACAGGAUGUAGUUAAUGUGUGACAGUCAUUGACAGUGAGAUGUACACAGUUGAUAAUCAGGAGGCUGAGCACACAAUCACAAGCCAUUCUGUCUCCCUGGGAGACUAAUUAAUAGAGAUACAAUCAGUCUUUCUGCCUAGCUGUGUGUGUGAGAGAGUUCAUCACCGAUCCUCAAUAGAGGACAUUUCAUUGUAAACAAAUAUGAGAUGUAUCCCUCUAACCCAGUGGUUCCCAAACUUUUUAUAGUCCCGUACCCCUUCAAACAUUCAACCUCCAGCUGUACCCCCACUAGCACCAAGGUCAGCACACUCUCAAGUGUUGUUUUGCCAUCAUUGUAAGCCUGCCACACACACACUAUAUAUUAAACAUAAGAAUUUAUGAGUUUUUGUCACAACCCGGCUCGUGGGAAGUGACAAAGAGUUCUUAUAGGACCAGCGCACAAAUAAUAAUAAUAUAAAAAUCAAUAAUUUUGCUCUUUAUUUACAUACACUUACUUACAUAUAAAACCUUAUUUGUUCAUCAAAAAUUGUGAAUAACUCCC
rnacentral:lncRNA from 8 species